GUUCUUCAAAGGUUGAUGAGGCCAUGAGCAAUAAGUGACAUGUCUUCUUCGUGUAUUCUUUGCCUCCUCAAGUGGGAAGGAGUUGGGAAAGUGGAAAUCCCCAUGAGGCUGUAGACUUCUGGGGUUUGACCAAAACCUAGUGAUACAGAGACAAGCAUUGAAUCAGCGGCCUCAACACCAGACACUCUGAAUUUAUUUACUAUAUACUAGAGCUCCUGUAACUGUACUGUUCUUAGGAACAGUACAUAUCAGCAGUGGAAUGACGGUUUUGCCCCCGAAGAAUGUAGCGAGAGAGAGAGGCUCUGAGAUACAAGCGUGGCAGCCAUCAAGCUGUCCGAUAGAAGCGAGUAUCGACCGCAUCAAUCAGGAUCUGAGAUACGUAGGACGAGUAGGAG